rnacentral:rRNA from 1 species
AACGAACGCUGGCGGCAUGCCUAACACAUGCAAGUCGAACGAGACCUUCGGGUCUAGUUGCGCACGGGUGCGUAACGCGUGGGAAUCUGCCCUUGGGUUCGGAAUAACAGUUGGAAACGACUGCUAAUACCGGAUGAUGACGUAAGUCCAAAGAUUUAUCGCCCAAGGAUGAGCCCGCGUAGGAUUAGCUAGUUGGUGAGGUAAAGGCUCACCAAGGCGACGAUCCUUAGCUGGUCGGAGAGGAUGAUCAGCCACACUGGGACUGAGACACGGCCCAGACUCCUACGGGAGGCAGCAGUGGGGAAUAUUGGACAAUGGGCGAAAGACUGAUCCAGCAAUGCCGCGUGAGUGAUGAAGGCCUUAGGGUUGUAAAGCUCUUUUACCCGGGAUGAUAAUGACAGUACCGGGAGAAUAAGCUCCGGCUAACUCCGUG